GUGUUGUAUGAAAGGAGAAGUUAGCAUUCUCCUUAGAUGGGAUGAGAAGAUUCUAGACACGUAUACAAAAGAUUCAUGUUUCAGGUAUUGCCACUUACUUUGUGGCAUCUAACCAUAUCUUUUG
rnacentral:ncRNA from 1 species